rfam:Lepisosteus oculatus linkage group LG8, whole genome shotgun sequence.
AUCAGCAGCCAUAUCACUCUGCAACUCACAACUGGCAACCCUGAAGCUAAGCAGGUAUGAGACUGGUCAGUACCUGGAUGGGAGACCUCCAGGGAAAAACUAAGGUUGCUGCUGGAA